rnacentral:misc_RNA from 1 species
GUAGGUGAACCUGCGGAAGGAUCAUUAACACGUAUCCAACGUUAAACAACCCUGUGAACCUUGAACGUGCUCUCGUACACGCUCUAGCAGCAAUCCCUGGUAAAUCAUUGUUGACCAGCUUCUGCUAGAAAACCAUACGAUACGAGCGCCAGAGUAAGUGCGGCCCGGCAUCCUGGUUGCGCAAGGAUGGCGCAGUAAACGAUCGCUGUAGGCCCACACGGCCGGCGACCGGGCCUCUGUGCUUCGGCACCUAAUGACACCAGUUUUCUGACCCGGUGCGCUGUAACAACCGCACCACAAACUCGAACAACUGUUAACAAUGGAUAUCUUGGUUCUU